rnacentral:tRNA from 1 species
AGUAAAGUGUCUGAUUUAAGUAAUAAAUUGUAAAUUUAUUUAAAAGAUAUAUAAAAUUAUCUUCUUUACUA